rnacentral:rRNA from 1 species
GAUGAACGCUAGGGGCAUGCUUAACACAUGCAAGUCGAACGAUUCUAACAUUUUGUUUACAAAGUGUAAGGAAAGUGGCGGACGGGUGAGUAACGCGUAAGAACUUACCCCUAGGAGGGGAAUAACUGCUAGAAAUGGUAGGUAAUACCCCAUAAGCUGAGGAGUAAAUGGAUUAUUCCGCCUAGGGAUAGGCUUGCGUCUGAUUAGCUAGUUGGUAAAGUAAUGGUUUACCAAGGCAACGAUCAGUAGCUGGUCUGAGAGGAUGAUCAGCCACACUGGGACUGAGACACGGCCCAGACUCCUACGGGAGGCAGCAGUGAGGAAUUUUCCGCAAUGGGCGAAAGCCUGACGGAGCAAUGCCGCGUGGAGGAAGAAGGCCCGAGGGUUGUAAACUCCUUUUCUCAGAAAAGAAGAUCUGACGGUAUCUGAGGAAUAAGCAUCGGCUAACUCCGUGCCAGCAGCCGCGGUAGACGGAGGAUGCAAGCGUUAUCCGGAAUGAUUGGGCGUAAAGCGUCUGUAGGUGGUUUAUUAAGUCUGCUGUUAAAGCACAGGGCUCAACCCUGUAUAGGCGGUAGAAACUGGUAGGCUUGAGUAUGGUAGGGGUAGAGGGAAUUCCCGAUG